AUUGCAGAAUUCAGUGAAUCAUCGAAUCUUUGAACGCACAUUGCGCCCGCCAGUAUUCUGGCGGGCAUGCCUGUUCGA
rnacentral:rRNA from 1 species